GAACUCCCGGCAGGCAGCGCGAGGAGGCAGAAGUCUGGUGGCCCAUCUGUCGCAGGGUGGGGGUAGGGGUAGGCUCUACUCGGCUAGGGCAAGACGGUGGGCCGAGCCCUUCCGCACGAGGCGACGAUCCACCCUAGCCUGUGAGAACACCCGGUCCGCAGGCCUAACCUAGAGGAAUUUUUUUUUCUUCUCCCUUUUCGGCGCCUUUUCUGUCUCCCAGUCUAUAUACCUUAUUCUCUUUCUCUCCACCCGCAGCCAGAGUUUGCCCUACAUUUCAAAGCCGGCGGGAGGCGUCUUUCCUUUUAUGUAUUCAUUUUUGGAAGAGGCAGUAAAACCAUGAGAUGUUACAGCUGAAACUGCGUGUGGCUCAUAAAGGUCCAAGGAUGUCCGGCAAAAGGAUCCUUAACUGGAAAAUUUCAGUGACUCAUGUUAUGUUUGACUAGUCAUUAAAAGCCCGCACCUAAAA
rnacentral:lncRNA from 1 species